rnacentral:rRNA from 1 species
AACUUGAGAGUUUGAUCAUGGCUCAGAACGUACGCUGGCGGCACGCCUAACACAUGCAAGUCGAACGAAGUAGCAAUACUUAGUGGCAGACGGGUGAGUAACAUGUAGGUAUCUGCCCUUUGGCCUGGAAUAACACGAGGAAACUUGUGCUAAUACCGGAUAAGUCUUUACGGAGAAAGCUUUAUGCACCAUUGGAUGAGCCUGCACUUGAUUAGUUUGUUGGUGGGGUAAUGGCCUACCAAGACUGUGAUCAAUAGCUGAUUUGAGAGGAUGAUCAGCCACAUUGGGACUGAGACACGGCCCAAACUCCUACGGGAGGCAGCAGUGGGGAAUCUUGCACAAUGGAGGAAACUCUGAUGCAGCGAUGCCGCGUGAGUGAAGAAGGCCCUUGGGUUGUAAAGCUCUUUCGUCGGGGAAGAAAAUGACUGUACCCGAAUAAGAAGGUCCGGCUAACUUCGUGCCAGCAGCCGCGGUAAUACGAAGGGACCUAGCGUAGUUCGGAAUUACUGGGCUUAAAGAGUUCGUAGGUGGUUGAAAAAGUUAGUGGUGAAAUCCCAGAGCUUAACUCUGGAACUGCCAUUAAAACUUUUCAGCUAGAGUAUGAUAGAGGAAAGCAGAAUUUCUAGUGUAGAGGUGAAAUUCGUAGAUAUUAGAAAGAAUACCAAUUGCGAAGGCAGCUUUCUGGAUCAUUACUGACACUGAGGAACGAAAGCAUGGGUAGCGAAGAGGAUUAGAUACCCUCGUAGUCCAUGCCGUAAACGAUGUGUGUUAGACGUUGGAAAUUUAUUUUCAGUGUCGCAGCGAAAGCGAUAAACACACCGCCUGGGGAGUACGACCGCAAGGUUAAAACUCAAAUGAAUUGACGGGGACCCGCACAAGUAGUGGAGCAUGUGGUUUAAUUCGAAGAUACGCGCAGAACCUUACCAACACUUGACAUGUUCGUCGCAACUCUAAGAGAUUAGAGUUUUCGGUUCGGCCGGACGAAACACAGGUGCUGCAUGGCUGUCGUCAGCUCGUGUCGUGAGAUGUUGGGUUAAGUCCCGCAACGAGCGCAACCCUCACUUUUAGUUGCCAUCAUUAAGUUGGGCACUCUGAAAGAACUGCCAGUGAUAAGCUGGAGGAAGGUGGGGAUGACGUCAAGUCCUCAUGGCCCUUACGUGUUGGGCUACACACGUGCUACAAUGGUAUCUACAACAGGAAGCAAGACUGCGAAGUUAAGCAAAUCCCUAAAAGAUACCUCAGUUCGGAUUGCACUCUGCAACUCGAGUGCAUGAAGCUGGAAUUACUAGUAAUCGUGGAUCAGCGUGCCACGGUGAAUGCGUUCCCGGGUCUUGUACACACCGCCCGUCACACCAUGGGAGUUGGUUCUACCUUAAGGCAAGGUUUUAAACCCUUGACCACGGUAUAGUCAGCGACUGGGGUGAAGUCGUAACAAGGUAGCCGUAGGGGAACCUGCGGCUGGAUUACCUCCUUUCUAA